UGGGGAAUAUUGCGCAAUGGGCGAAAGCCUGACGCAGCGACGCCGCGUGAGGGAUGAAGGUUUUCGGAUCGUAAACCUCUGUCAGAAGGGAAGAAACUACGUUGUGCUAAUCAGCAGCGUACUGACGGUACCUUCAAAGGAAGCACCGGCUAACUCCGUGCCAGCAGCCGCGGUAAUACGGAGGGUGCAAGCGUUAAUCGGAAUUACUGGGCGUAAAGCGCACGUAGGCUGUAGUGUAAGUCAGGGGUGAAAUCCCACGGCUCAACCGUGGAACUGCCUUUGAUACUGCACAACUUGAAUCCGGGAGAGGGUGGCGGAAUUCCAGGUGUAGGAGUGAAAUCCGUAGAUAUCUGGAGGAACAUCAGUGGCGAAGGCGGCCACCUGGACCGGUAUUGACGCUGAGGUGCGAAAGCGUGGGGAGCAAACAGG
rnacentral:rRNA from 2 species